rnacentral:rRNA from 1 species
UACAGAGGUCUCAAGCGUUGUUCGGAUUCAUUGGGCGUAAAGGGUGCGUAGGUGGCGCUGUAAGUCAGGUGUGAAAUCUCGGGGCUCAACCCCGAAACUGCACUUGAUACUGCGGUGCUCGAGUACUGGAGAGGAGAUUGGAAUUUACGGUGUAGCAGUGAAAUGCGUAGAUAUCGUAAGGAAGACCAGUGGCGAAGGCGAAUCUCUGGACAGUUACUGACACUGAGGCACGAAGGCCAGGGGAGCAAACGGG